rnacentral:rRNA from 1 species
UACGGAGGAUCCAAGCGUUAUCCGGAUUUAUUGGGUUUAAAGGGUGCGUAGGUGGCCUGUUAAGUCAGGGGUGAAAGACGGUAGCUUAACUAUCGCAGUGCCCUUGAUACUGAUGGGCUUGAAUGAACUAGAGGUAGGCGGAAUGUGACAAGUAGCGGUGAAAUGCAUAGAUAUGUCACAGAACACCAAUUGCGAAGGCAGCUUACUAUGGUUUUAUUGACACUGAGGCACGAAAGCGUGGGUAGCAAACAGG